UCAGGGAUACAGUAUCACAAGAGCCAAGAGAAGGGUUGAGAAAAAAUGGUUCACUAUCAAAUGUGACAGAAAUAGAGAAUGAGAACAUUUUCGAAGUGGAAAAUCACUGGUGACUUUUGAGAAUAGUUUUAAUAGAGCAGUCAGAGUAGAUAUCUGAUUGCUAAGUCAUCUCUAAAUAAUUCUUCAGAGUUGGCAGACGCAGAAAGGCUGGGGACUGGGCUGCGAGUCAGCGACGCAGAGCUACUGAAUCGGUCCAAAAUGGCAGAGGUGGAGGAGACACUGAAGCGACUUCAGAGCCAGAAAGGAGUGCAGGGAAUCAUCGUGGUGAACACAGAAGGCAUUCCCAUCAAGAUCACCAUGGACAAUCCCACCACCACACAGUACAACAACCUCAUGCACAACUUCAUCUUGAAAGCACGGAGCACUGUGCGUGAAACUGACCCCCAGAAUGACCUCACUUCGAAUUUGCUUCAAGAAAAAUGAAAUUAUGGUUGCACCACAUAAAGCCUAUUUCCUGAUUGUGAUUCAGAAUCCAACAGAAUAAGCCACACUCUUGGCUCCUUGUGUCAUUCCUUAAUUUAAUGCCCCCCAAGAAUAAUAAUGUUCAUCAUGUCAGCAGACUGGCACGUGGAAAUUGCCUUAGAGCCCACUCAGAUCAAUCCAGUGACCAUGGGUGGGCUGGCAGCUCUGCCCACCCCGCCAAAGGAAUCCCCCUGCUGCGCCAGUCUCCCCAGAGUUCCCAGGAGGGCCCUCUGUCCUCACUUCCAGGUUUUGGAGCAAGAGCUUGUGAGAAGCCCACACCCGGCUUCCUCCUGACCUUCAGUUCACUUUGUUGCCCUUGGAAAAAGCUGCUGUUUUUCUUUAACUGAAAGUAACUGAAAUGCUUAAAAAAAAUAAUAAUUCUUCAGAGUUAAGUUUGCAAUACAAAGCAAUAAGGUGGGUGAUAACAUCUUAAUUAACUGAUCUCUAUUGAGCAAAUAUCCUGCAGUCUGCACCCCAGGAGUCACCAUUUUGUUCAUGAGAGGCAGCAGACCACAGUGCAAAGAGCACUGGCUGGGGGAGUUCAGGGCCCUGGGCAGCAGAGUGCUCACUGGUCCUUAACUUCCAUGCAACUGUAGAGUCCCUUCCCUCUAUGGUUAAAUGUGUUUCCCCAUUUGUAACUGAGAGUGGGACUAGCUGAUCCCAAACACCCCUACCGGCUCUAACAUUCACCAGCCUCAGAGCUUUUGCAUUUGCAGUUCCCUCUGCCCAGAAAUCUCUUCUCCCAACUACUCACAUGGCUCACUCCCUUACCUCCUUUCUCAGCUUUGCGUUAAGGCCAGACUAUCACCUGCCUGGUGAGAUCUUCCUUAGCCCCACUUUCCCUAGCACUACCUUUCCCCACUGCCUGCUUUAUAUUCCUCCAUAACACUAAUCACUACCUGAUAUACUGUUUUAUUUGUUUAUUGCCAAUUUUCCCCACUAGACUCUAAAUUCCAUUAAAGCAGUGAUUUUGUUCACUGUUCUGUGAUGUGCUUGGCAUAAAGUAGGCAAGCAAACAUCUGUUGAAGGAAUGAAUGAAAUGCCAGCUCCGAUCCCCAAAUUACAGUGGCCACACUGGAGAAAAUUUUCUUUAGGAGGCUCAAUUCUA